ensembl:lncRNA
GGUGGGGGCAGGCUGACCGCCCUCAGCACAUGGGCUGCGUGUUCCCUCUGUAACUGUGAAGGGCGGUAUGGGAGAGAUGGUCAGCUCAGUUUUGGGGGGAUGAUCGGCUGCCGUAGCAGGGGAAGGCAAACAACUGAUAGAGACCGGGCCAGCACCCAAAGCUGGCCACAGCCUGGGCUUGCUGUAAGGGCCCCCGAAGCAGCGUUGCAGGCCCAGAACCACCCCUAGAGUCCCUUAGGCCUGUGGCCCCACAAGAGCCCCACUGGGAAGACAGGACUGUCCACUGACAUCCAAAGCAUGGCCUGUGUGCUGGGGAAAGAGGAAGUGAACACAGGCCUAGCAGGUCCUGGGAAAGUGCAGCGGGGUGACUAGAUCAGCAGUAACUCAUGGCUCAACCCCACAGGAGAGGACAGGGCCUGGGCAAGAAAUGGAGGGUGGAAAAACACCCCUGCCAGGGGUCAACAGGUCACUGGAAAUUUGAGUGGCCCUACAUCUCUGCUUUCCUAUUCUGGGAAGGGAUAGGGUACCUAACUCUGUCCUCUACAAGGAGAGCCCUGAAUCCUGAGCCUCGUAUUCAGCUCUAGGUGAGGGUGGAUUGGAGGGUCAGGGUUCGGAGAGGCUCUCACUCUGGCGACUCUGGACAGUUUUGAGCCUGCUGCCUCCGGUGACGGGAGGCUCAUGACACCACCAGGAGUCAGAUGCACCAGAGCAGGGAAAGCCUGUACCCAGCUGUCCUGUGGAGCCUGUGCCAGCUCUGUGAGGGGACAGAAGGAAGUGGGCCUCCAAAGUCUGUGACAUCCUGACAAACGCCCCAUCGAUCAAGUCAUCAAGGCCGCAGCCAUGCCCUGGCUACUAUUGCUGGGGCUCUCCCCUGGAGAAACUUAUAAGCCCAUGCUGCAAAAAAAGGGACCAGGCUGAGGUAGUCCAGGAUACAGUUUAUUGGGUCAGUGGGCACUGGAUCCCCCCACCCCACCUCCUUUCCUUUUGCCCUCUUCCAACCUUACCUUCUCACCAGUCUCCUACUCUCCUUCCUCAUGUAUUCAGAGCUGCAGAAAACCAAAAAAAGAAGAAAGAAAAAAACAUGUUGGUAAAGGCAAAGAGGCAGAUGGGUUGGCAUGUGGGAAGAGAACUGCUUCUUUGUCUUGCCCACAGAGUGGGGGUGCCUUCCUUGUGGGCUUCUGCCUGGUGUGUGGGUACAAUUUGCUGAACCCUGGGCAUAUGACAUGUUCCUCCCACCCCUGGCAUCCCUGGAGGACCCUAUUUAGGCCAUCUCUCGGCCGUGGACAGAAAGCUGUUGGCCUGACUGCUGGACCUGGCUCUCCUGGGCCGAUGUAAUACAGAGGGUGAGCUUGGGAAGGACUCCCAGACCUAUAUGAACUGCUAAGGAAAAACUAUCAUUUGGAAAAUAAGACUGUCAUUGGCCUGCAGGGAGAGGCCUCUUGUUUCAGAAGGCUGCAAUGAGGUGAUGGUCACAGUUUGAGUUUGAUAUCAAUAGUCAAGUCUCAUUUUUCUCUGAAGACACCCAGAGCAUAUUGGAUCUGCCAAGAGUAUUGACUUGGAGAAGCUGAAUAAGCAACUGAAUUGCCAUGCUAACACUGAUGUUUCUAGCUGUUUCCUCUGAAUCUCCCUACAGCUUUCUCCUCCUCAAGCAUCCUCUUACAAACGUCACUCCACAGCAUUCCAUUCUAGGCCCCUUGCUCCUCUCUUUUGAAACACACUCCCUGAACCACCUUAUCCAUUUCUCUGGCUUCCAUCUAUAUGCUAAGGCUGUAUGCCUCAUGGCUGUGAUUCACAUGGCUCUCUCCUCAUCUCCUGACCCUCAUAUCCAACUGCUGACUGGAUGCCUUUUGAAGAGCAUGCUCAAAAUCAAACAUCUCAAAACCUGCUUUUCCUCCCAGACUCUCAGGGUUACCAACUACCUAGGUACUCAAGCCACACAGCUGGGCCUCACUCUUGAUUCUUGCCCCUGUGCCCUCAUCCCAACCAUCAGAAUCUUCGCAAUUAAAUGCCCUAAAUAUUGAUAAGUUCUGUUUCUCUUCAUCCCCAUUGGCACCACUCAGUUUCCAGACAUGUUGACCUCUCUCCUAAACACUAAAACUGCCCCCUCACAGGCUCCCUGUCUCUGGUCUUGCCCUUCUUCCAGCCAGUCUCCAAGGUGCAAAGUGAUUUCUAAAAACAGACCCAUCACUACAGUCUGUUUCUUAGGGAAAAUUCCAGCCCCCUCAACCUGGCUCACAAAAGCUUUUAAGUGGGUUCCUCUCUCCAGCCCCACUUCUGCCACCUAACUUCUCAGUCUGCACGGGACCUCACUGAACCAUCCUUGGGGCUUGCUUGCCCCUCUGUGGUACACUCCUCAUCUUGCCUUGCUAAUGCCUGGUUACUCGAUAGGCUUCAACCUAAACAUCACAAAUUUCCUCAGGAAGCUUCCCUUCCACUGUGCUCCUAUCAUAGGAGCAUGCGUUUCCCCUAGUACAGUUUUAGGGGAAUCACACCUCAUUGCAAUCACUGUUUACACCUCCAAUAUAUACAUCUGUAAGUAUUUGCUGACUAGUCAGCUAGGUAACGCAUACCACCCAAGUCUGGGAAAGAUGAUUGUUGCCUUCCGUGUAGAGCUUGGUCCAAGUUUUUUGUUUUGUUUUUAAACAGCUUUAUUGAGAUUU